GCUCAGGAUGAACGCUAGCUACAGGCUUAACACAUGCAAGUCGAGGGGCAGCGGGAUUGAAGCUUGCUUCAAUCGCCGGCGACCGGCGCACGGGUGAGUAACGCGUAUCCAACCUUCCGUUUACUCAGGGAUAGCCUUUCGAAAGAAAGAUUAAUACCUGAUAGUAUGGUAAGAUUGCAUGAUAGUACCAUUAAAGAUUUAUUGGUAAACGAUGGGGAUGCGUUCCAUUAGGUAGUAGGCGGGGUAACGGCCCACCUAGCCUACGAUGGAUAGGGGUUCUGAGAGGAAGGUCCCCCACAUUGGAACUGAGACACGGUCCAAACUCCUACGGGAGGCAGCAGUGAGGAAUAUUGGUCAAUGGGCGAUGGCCUGAACCA
rnacentral:rRNA from 1 species